AUGGGCGAAAGCCUGAUGCAGCGACGCCGCGUGAGGGAUGGAGGCCUUCGGGUUGUAAACCUCUUUCGCUCAUGGUCAAGCCGCAACAUUGGUUGUGGUGAGGGUAGUGGGUAAAGAAGCGCCGGCUAACUACGUGCCAGCAGCCGCGGUAAUACGUAGGGCGCGAGCGUUGUCCGGAAUUAUUGGGCGUAAAGGGCUUGUAGGCGGUUGGUCGCGUCUACCGUGAAGUCCUCUGGCUUAACUGGGGGCGUGCGGUGGGUACGGGCUGACUUGAGUGCGGUAGGGGAGACUGGAACUCCUGGUGUAGCGGUGGAAUGCGCAGAUAUCAGGAAGAACACCGGUGGCGAAGGCGGGUCUCUGGGCCGUUACUGACGCUGAGGAGCGAAAGCGUGGGGAGCGAACAGGAUUAGAUACCCUGGUAGUCCACGCUGUAAACGUUGGGCACUAGGUGUGGGGGCCACCCGUGGUUUCUGCGCCGUAGCUAACGCUUUAAGUGCCCCGCCUGGGGAGUACGGCCGCAAGGCUAAAACUCAAAGGAAUUGACGGGGGCCCGCACAAGCGGCGGAGCAUGCGGAUUAAUUCGAUGCAACGCGAAGAACCUUACCAAGGCUUGACAUGCACGGCGGCACUGCAGAGAUGUGGUGGCAUUUAGUUGGUCGUGUGCAGGUGGUGCAUGGGUUGUCGUCAGCUCGUGUCGUGAGAUGUUGGGGUUAA
rnacentral:rRNA from 1 species